GACGAACGCUGGCGGCGUGCUUAACACAUGCAAGUCGAGCGGUAAGGCUCCUUCGGGAGUACACGAGCGGCGAACGGGUGAGUAACACGUGAGCAACCUGCCCUUCUCAUCGGAAUAAGCGUUGGAAACGACGUCUAAUGCCGAAUAUGAUAACGGAUCGCAUCAUCUGUUGGGGAAAGCUCCGGCGGAGAAGGAUGGGCUCGCGGCCUAUCAGCUUGUUGGUGGGGUAACGGCCCACCAAGGCGACGACGGGUAGCCGGCCUGAGAGGGUGACCGGCCACACUGGGACUGAGACACGGCCCAGACUCCUACGGGAGGCAGCAGUGGGGAAUAUUGGACAAUGGGCGCAAGCCUGAUCCAGCAACGCCGCGUGAGGGAUGACGGCCUUCGGGUUGUAAACCUCUUUCAGCAGGGACGAAGCGAAAGUGACGGUACCUGCAGAAGAAGGACCGGCCAACUACGUGCCAGCCGCCGCGGUAA
rnacentral:rRNA from 1 species